rnacentral:rRNA from 1 species
UACGUAGGGGGCUAGCGUUGUCCGGAAUCAUUGGGCGUAAAGCGCGUGUAGGCGGUCCGGUAAGUCCGCUGUGAAAGUCGAGGGCUCAACCCUCGAAUGCCGGUGGAUACUGUCGGGCUAGAGUCCGGAAGAGGCGAGUGGAAUUCCUGGUGUAGCGGUGGAAUGCGCAGAUAUCAGGAGGAACACCGAUAGCGAAGGCAGCUCGCUGGGACGGUACUGACGCUGAGGUGCGAAAGCGUGGGGAGCGAACAGG